CAGCCGCCGCGGUAAUACGAAGGGGGCUAGCGUUGUUCGGAAUUACUGGGCGUAAAGCGCGCGCAGGCGGCUAUCCAAGUCAGUGGUGAAAGCCCGGAGCUCAACUCCGGAACUGCCAUUGAAACUGUUUAGCUUGAGGACGAGAGAGGUGAGUGGAAUUCCCAGUGUAGAGGUGAAAUUCGUAGAUAUUGGGAAGAACACCGGUGGCGAAGGCGGCUCACUGGCUCGUUUCUGACGCUCAGGCGCGACAGCGUGGGGAUCAAACAGGAUUAGAUACCCCGGUAGUCCCUGUCUCUUAUAC
rnacentral:rRNA from 1 species